rnacentral:rRNA from 1 species
AUUGAAACGAUGAUUAAUACUGGAUACGUCCUUCUAGCUCUAAUGUUAGUCGGGAAAGUUUUUCGCUAAGAGAUCGGGUCUAUAUCCCAUCAGCUUGUUGGUAGUGUAAGAGACUACCAAGGCUAUGACGGGUAGCGGGUUUGAGAGGAUGAUCCGCCACACUGGUACUGAGACACGGACCAG